UAGGAGUGACCCAUGGUCCACCACAGAGGAAACGUGUCCUAUGUAGGACAGGGCAGACCUAUCUAGAGGAGUGUAGAUCUAUGGUAAAUGUGAAUGUGUGUAUGGUUUGUAAAAAGAGUCAGGUAUUUAACCCAUUUAGACUAAACUCCUCCCACUCAUGAAUAUUCAUGUACCACUGCUGUUCCAGAACAUCUUUGUUGCAGAUGUUGUUAACACAUCACAUGUCAUUAUGUUUCUCCUGGUCUUGUUUAUUUCGUUAUGGCAGGAGACAUGUUCCUGGGUCUAUAUCAGGGCUGUCCAACCCUGUUCCUGGAGAUAAACCUCCUGUAGGUUUUAACUCCAACCCUGUUCCUGGAGAUAAACCUCCUGUAGGUUUUAACUCCAACCCUGUUCCUGGAGAGAUAAACCUCCUGUAGGUUUUAACUCCAACCCUGUUCCUGGAGAUAAACCUCCUGUAGGUUUUAACUCCAACCCUGUUCCUGAAGAGAAACCCUCCUGUAGGUUUUAACUCCAACCCCAGUUGUAACCAACCUGAUUCAGAUUUUCAACCAGCUAAUUAUUAGAAUCAGGGUUGGAGUUAAAACCUACAGGAGGUUUAUCUCUCCAGGAACAGGGUUGGAGUUAAAACCUACAGGAGAGUUUCUCUCCAGGAACAGGGUUGGAGUUAAAACCUACAGGAGGUUUAUCUCUCCAGGAACAGGGUUAGAGUUAAAACCUACAGGAGAGUUUCUCUCCAGGAACAGGGUUGGAGUUAAAACCUACAGGAGGGUAUCUCUCCAGGAAGAGGGUUGGAGUUAAAACCUACAGGAGGGUCUCUCCAGGAACAGGGUUGGACAGCCCUGGGUCUAUAUAGUUAAUGUCAAUGUAUAUCAAUAUAUAUAUAUAUAUCUAUCUAUGCGCUCAAAUGGUGUCAGCUCCUGUGUAAUAUUGAACAUGUCUACCUACGGCCAUACAGUUAGAUUGUCACCGAGAUUCUUAUUCCAUAUGAUCAGCAUUCUAGGAUAUGACCACAUUCUCUACACUCAGCAGUGUGUCAUGUUCACUGUUAUGACACGGUAGAGCUACAGUCACAUACACAUCCAUCGUUAUACUAGGCUGCAUGUAAGCAGCAGUAGCCUAGUCCCUGUCAUUCAAACAGAAACACAGUUUCCACUCCUCACUGCUUAUUCAGUAUAGGGUGGAGUGCACUGCAGGAGCCAACAUGGAACCCAGUUUCUACUCCUCACUGCUUAUUCAGUAUAGGGUGGAGUGCACUGCAGGAGCCAAAAUGGAACCCAGUUUCUACUCCUCACUGCUUAUUCAGUAUAGGGUGAGUGCACUGCAGGAGCCAAAAUGGAACCCAGUUUCUACUCCUCACUGCUUAUUCAGUAUAGGGUGAGUGCACUGCAGGAGCCAAAAUGGAACCCAGUUUCUACUCCUCACUGCUUAUUCAGUAUAGGGUGAGUGCACUGCAGGAGCCAAAAUGGAACCCAGUUUCUACUCCUCACUGCUUAUUCAGUAUAGGGUGAGUGCACUGCAGGAGCCAAAAUGGAACCCAGUUUCUACUCCUCACUGCUUAUUCAGUAUAGGGUGGAGUGCACUGCAGGAGCCAAAAUGGCCAACUGUCAUGUCACUCAGCAUUGAUCAGAAAUCACCUUGCUCUACAGAUUUUCUAGCCUGUUAUACAACGUCUUCAUGCGCCUCUAUAUCUGUACAGUACAACACCUAUUUUAUCUGUCAUGAAUGUACAUUGCACAGGUUGUUGGUGUCGUUGUCUCCUUGAGACCACAAAUGAUGGUUUCUCUGUCUCUCUCUCUCUUCCCUGCCAUCAGCAUCUGUGUUUUGGGCUGUUGUGCUGAAGCUCAACGUGUUCUUUAGCCACAUAUCAACCUGUAUACAUUGUGUUUCUGUAUAUUUUCAGAGAGCAGGCUAGUCUCCGAGACGUGUGGGUAUUCACGGUAUAACAGAUAUGCACUAAAGACUUCUAUAUUAAGUCGACCAGAUUCUCGUGAGAGAUUCUCGUGAAAAGCAUUAACGUUUUGGCGAGCGUGACGGAUUGAGAAAGAGGAGAGACUGUUUUGACAGAUGACUUGGGCUUAAACCUGCUUCCUCCUACUCCUCUGUAUCUCGUGUGUGUGUGUGUGUGUGUGGAGCUGUAUACUGUACGUAUCCCAGUGUAUAUAUAUAUAUUCCUCAUUGAUUUGAUCCAACGCUUGGACCUGUACUACUGUAUAGUAAUAUGAAUGUGGUGUUCUUCUGUACUAUCGGGAUCCUUCUUAUAUAUCUGAUCUCCAACAAUCCCGUUUUGCUUUCUUGUUGUGUGUCGCUUUAAAAAAAACAACAUGGA